rnacentral:rRNA from 1 species
AACGAACGCUGGCGGCAGGCCUAACACAUGCAAGUCGAGCGCACCCUUCGGGGCGAGCGGCGGACGGGUUAGUAACGCGUGGGAACGUACCCUUUUCUAUGGAAUAGCCUCGGGAAACUGAGAGUAAUACCAUAUAAGCCCUUCGGGGAAGAUUUAUCGGAAGGAUCGGCCCGCGUUAGAUAGAUAGUUGGUGGGGUAAAUGGCCUACCAAGUCUACGAUCUAUAGCUGGUUUUAGAGGAUGAUCAGCAACACUGGGACUGAGACACGGCCCAGACUCCUACGGGAGGCAGCAGUGGGGAAUCUUAGACAAUGGGCGCAAGCCUGAUCUAGCCAUGCCGCGUGUGU